rnacentral:rRNA from 1 species
UACGUAGGCAGCAAGCGUUGUUCGGAAUUACUGGGCGUAAAGAGUGUGUAGGCGGUGCUCUAAGUUUGGUGUGAAAUCUCCCGGCUCAACUGGGAGGGUGCAUCGAAAACUGGAAUGCUAGAGGGUGGGAGAGGUAAGCGGAAUUCCUGGUGUAGCGGUGAAAUGCGUAGAUAUCAGGAGGAACACCUGUGGUGUAGACAGCUUACUGGACCAUUUCUGACGCUGAGACACGAAAGCGUGGGUAGCAAACAGG